rnacentral:lncRNA from 1 species
UUAGCUUGGCUUUCUAUUAUUGCUCACCGCAACAAAGACACGAAACCAGGGGAGAAAUUGAUCUCUGUAUCUGAUGUUGUAAAGGAACAUUGGGCAACCUAUGGUAGAAAUUUCUUUUCUAGAUAUGACUACGAGGUUGGUAUCAUUCUUGCAAUUGAAGAUUUAUAUGUAUAAUAAUUUUUGACACUUAAUUAUUUAGUUUAGUUUUGCUUUGGAAUUUCUUAAUACCAUAAGCUAGGUUAAGUGCAUGUUUCAUUUCUUUUUCUUUUGAUUUUUGACAAAUUUAAAUAUAGGAAUGUGAAUCCGAAGGGGCCAAUAAGAUGAUAGAGUAUCUAAGAGAGUGUUUGUCUAAGAGCAAGUCCGGUGAUAAGUAUGGUAAGUUACUACAACUUACAAGCACUUUAUUAUCAUUAGCAGACACUGAUCCUGAGCAUAUUUGAAGUAUGAUGAGCAUUCUUCUACAGGAAGUUAUGUCCUCCAGUUUGCAGAUGAUUUUACAUACACAGAUCCUGUAAGUUCUUACAAUGUGCACAGUCCUAUCACGUUCAUUUUUUUUUUUCAACUCAAGGUCAAGCAACCGUAGUUCAAAAUCUGAUUUGAUUUAAAUGUGCAGGUAGAUGGAAGUGUGGUAUCAAAACAAGGGGUCCGGUUUGUUUUUACGGAUGGCUCAAGGAUUAUUUAUCGUUUAUCAGUAAGUGACAUAUGUUUAUUAGCGCACCGUCUCUUUCAAAACAUUUAUCAAAAAUUAAAUAUUAAGUAAUUAUGUACGCUGUUUUGUUUUACAGGGAACGGGUUCCGCUGGUGCAACUGUUAGAGUGUAUAUUGAACAGUUUGAACCAGAUGUUUCUAAACACGACCUUGACGCUCAAAUUGCUUUGAAACCAUUAAUAGGUUAUUUUCAUAUACCAAGAUAAAGUAUAGUAAUAUAAACAAAUCUGCUUAUUUUUCUGUGACUAAUUACUCUUAGUACUAUGCAGACUUAGCAUUAUCCGUUUCAAAGCUCAAAGAGUUCACAGGGAGAGAGAAGCCUACAGUCAUCACUUAAAAAUGUACAUAUUCCACAACCACUCAUCAAAAUGUACUCCAAGUUGAGUGCAUUGCGCCUAUCCCAUUAUUACCUGAGAUCAAUUCGGUUUGUCAUUUUUCAGUUUUGGUUGUUUUACCCUUUUGGAGCAUAGUCCUCCCUAUGUAAAAUAUGAUAUUUAUAUGCACUUUUAAGAAAUGAAAUACCAUUGUGUAACUAAAUAAAUAAUAGUAUUAAUUAAUAAUAUCUAGCUUCUCUGUAAACGGAGCUUUUGUUUUCAAUGUUGUCCCAUUUUUCUAAGUCGGGAAACUAGAGUUGCACCUCAAAGCCAGAUUUAAGACCACCCUCUGCGAACUAUGUGUUAGCUGCACAUGCUGAUUCCAUUGGAAACAUUGCUAGAAAACCCCCUGAUGCUGCUUCGGAUGUGCACAGGAAGGGAUUGGUGAAUGACAUUUGUUCGUUACUAUUGGUGUCAUGCAUAUUCAUAACAUAAAGCAUAUCUCAUAAUUAAUACUUCAAACUGGUGAAUCAAAUUAUGUAAAUGGUUUUAUGAUAUUUUUUCGGUACACCAAAAAGUUCCACAGUGCUUUGGAGUUGAAGACAAUGGUAGUUUAUACUUUAUAAUACAACACUUCUUAGCUCAAUGUCAUCAAAUGGUCAUGGUUUUGAUUUUGGAAAUGUACUUUUUAGUUGUGCAAAAACGGACUGAUUUUUCUUUGGAAAUACACAUGGAUAGCAAAAAUUUGUUUUUAGGGUCUAACUGUGGUAUAUGACUAUAAAUUGUGAAGUUGGGAACAUUCAGGAUUGUGACACGAUUUGUGUACCGUGUCACGAUUUCGCAAGGCCGUGAGCAUGGUUUUAUGAGCGUUCAACCGUGACACGAUUUUUGGCAUGCUUGGCACAUUUUCAGGAUAAAGUUGGUCGUACCUUGGGUCGUACGUAUCAACCGUGACACGAUUUGGCCAAUCAUGUCACGAUUUUGACAGCUGAAGACUGUUAUUUAAGUGUUCCAAUUCAAUUUUUAAGGAGAGCUUCAAGAGAGAAAAACUUGGGAAAUCAAAGAAGGUAACUUUAUUGUUGAGGGUCUUUGAUUAUGGUUCUCUUGGGGUGGAAAACAUUGUAAACACCUUGGGUGAGUGAAAAUCAUUGAGUGUCUUGUUCAUUUGUGAGAUUGGGAAAAUGGAUAAAAAUUAGGUUUGUUCUUUGUGAGCUCGUUGAAGCUAAUUUCUUGUAACUCAUGUGUAUCUCUUUGUAAGAACUCAUUCAUAGUGGAUUGGAGAGAUCAAUCUCUCCCCCAGAGUAGGUCAAGUUGGAUCGAACUGGGUAAACAAUCUUUGGUGUGUUUGUUUCUCUUCUCUCUUUAUCUUUUGCUUGUGGUUUUGAGCCUUUCACAUUAUUAGUAGAUUAGAUCUAGGUGUUGUUAUUAUUGUUGUUGCUUGUAUUUACUUUGAAUUGGUUACAACUAUCGUUUGCUCCACACAUCUUUGUUUUCAUUGUGUGGUUUUGAGUCCGAAUUCACAACACUAACAAGGGGUCGUAACAAGUGUCCUAAGGAUACUUGUUAAGGUAACCAAGAUUAAUAGCUUUAUAUUGGAAACAACGAUUUUUAAAUUUUUUACAAGUUAGACUCGAUCAUUUUUUACCAUUUUCCAAUACAACAUUUUUAUUUUGUUCUCUUAUUCAAUAUCCUAAGGACACUAUUUAGCAUUUCUCUUCUUUUUAUCAUUCAUUAGAAUGAUAAAAUAAAUUGUAUGACAAUUAUUUAAUUUCUGGAUGAACAAAUCUACAAAUGUUUGUUGGUUUAUGUUAAUUUGCAGGGUUUAAAGCCUUGACCUUCUGCUUAAUACACCUUCGAUGUCCUUCAACUUUUUGGGACGUGUAUGAAAGGUAUAAGAAGAUGUAAUUAUAUCUAAACUUACACAUUUUUCAUAUAUAAUGAAAAGUUUAGACGAGUUGAAUGGAAAUGUAUGUUUUAUUCCAUUCUUUUCCGCUUUAUUCCAUUUAAUUAUAUUUCUAGUUUGCUAAUUUAGUGGAAAGGAAAGUGGGUAGUGGCAAUUACAUGAAGUUUUGGACCGAUACGUGGAUAUGAAGCGUCUCUAUUUGAGAGAUUCUCUCGACUGUAUUUGCUUUUGGAACAAAAGACAGCGAAGGUGGCAAAUGUGAGAGAAAGAGAUGGCAACAAGUGUCGAUGGAGUUUCGGUUAGAGAAGACUUUUCGAGUGGGAACAAGAGAGUCAAAAGGAAAGUUUGUUUAUCUUAUCUACGACUACCUGGUCUUCGAAGGACAUUUCAUGGUUACGACAUUUGGAUUUUUGUGGAUCCUUUUUUGGAACUCAUCAUAUUGUGAGAUUGCUCUAAAGUUUACUCAUGAAGUCGCUCUAGGUAAUUCAACCUCUUUUGUGUUCUAUAAUAUUUGGAACAGUGGAGCUCUGUCCGAGGUGUCAACGUUAUCCUAGAAGUUGUUGGAUGAUAACAUCUAGUUGAAAUCUAAUUUAGCUCACAUAGGGAUUAUCCUUGAUCAUGUCUUUGUUGACUGUUUUUUUAUGAGGGCCAAUUAGAAACUAUAGUUCAUAUCCUUUUCUUAACUGCAAUUUUGUGGCACUGGUCUGGUGUGGGGUGCUCUGGUUGUUAGGUUUGGUAUUGUUGAUGUUGUAGAUCUUCCGGUCUUCUUUGGGUCAUUUGGUGGUUUGAUUGGCAACAAGAAGAUAACAAAAUGUCUUUAGCUAAUUUGGCAUACUACUAUUUGGAGAGCCAAAAUUAAUACAAUUUUGGCUUAAGUGCACUUUUCCUCCUAACUUUCAAAAAGUUGCGAUUUUAGCCCCUUAUGUACAAAAACUACAAUUUUAGCCCCUAAGAUUUAGCCAAUUUGCAUCUCUGAUCUUUUUGAUCAAUUUUGACCAACUCAACGCUGGUUUGGCACAACACCUGUAAUUAACCAUUUUUAAAAAAUAAAAAUGUAGCAUGUUAAAUUGUUGAAUUAAACAAAUGGAAAAGAAAAAUUAAAAAGGAAAGGUAAAGGAGAGGCACGUGAAAAUUCAGAAAAACUUCAUCUUUCAAAAAAUUAAAACUUCAUUUUCUCAUUCAUUUUCUUAACAACUUCGUCUUCUUCUCAACCAAAACCCAAAAAAUCCAGAAAAUACAACAUAAGAAGAGUACCGCUACUAAAUCUCCACUAUGAGAAGGUAAAUUUUAGACACUUAUUCGAAUUUGAUUUUCGAUUUCGAUUUCAAUUCUCAAAAGUCGAAAAUGUCGAUUGUUGCAGACCUGGACUUCACCGGCAGAAUGGAAGACACAUCGGAGGAUCAGGAUUCAAAGGAAUGGUUGCGAAGUUAUCAAUUGCUGCUAUCGUACUCUUGAUCUGCACGUUCUCAUUGUUCUACUCUUCAUCAAAUGAGAAUGUUCAAUCCAUUUUUCGAUCAGAGGUUCUUUUAAAAUUGUUCAGUUCAGAAUCUCUACGAAUUUUUGUAAUGCGAAACUCAGCGAAUUUUUUAUUUGUUUAUUGUUGAGCAGAUCCGGUUAGAAGAGCUUUGGAGCAAUGCCGAUUCCAGUGGUUGGCGACCGUCGUCGUCACCGCGUUCUCAUUGGCCCCGUAUCUAUCUGUUCUUGUAGUUACAGACUGUUUCUCAUGCAAGAGUUUUUAAUUGAGUAUGGUUGUUAUAGAAUUUUCUGAUAAUGUGUUAUGGUGUUUUUUUCCAGCUCCUCCGAGUAAGAAUAAUGGCUAUUUGCGGGUUCGAUGCAAUGGUGGACUGAAUCAGCAGCGUACUGCAGUUUGUACCUUCCCAUUCUCUUACUGUAAAAUGUGAUGGAAUUUUAUGAGUAUAUAGGGUUGCUAUUUUCUAUACUGGUUUAGUGCAUUCACUGUUAAUUAACUAACCGUGUAGUCAAUGAAGCCUAGAUACUUCAAAAUAUUGAGAAGUAUCAAUGUCUGACACGAAUCCGAUACAUGUAUUUGACACGUCUCCGAUACAAAUAAACGUCCAAUACUUCCCAAUACAUACCCAUCAAGUAUCCAAUAGUUUUUUUUUUUUUCAUUCUUUUUGGAAAUAUUUUUAACGAUACUUCUCAGAUACAUCUUUGAUACUUCUUGCGAAAUAGAAACAGUACGCAGUUGUUAUCGAUAUCUAAAUCGAAAUACGAUACAUUUAUGAUAUGUCGUCCUAACUAAAAGCAAAAUUGCAUGCUUUUGUGACACAUUUAGAGUAGAAAAAAUAAUACUUACCGAUACAGGCGGGGAAGUUAUAUGUAACCAUGUCUAUGUCUAUUAACUACUUAUAUGUUUAUGUAUUUAUGAGAAAUUAGCUAUGAAUCUGUGUAUAGAUUGUGGAUUUUUUUAAUGUAUUUUGUCUGUGUCGUAUCUUGAUUUUAAAAAAUUUCACAAAUCUCCGCAUCUGUGUCAUAUCUUAUCCGUAUCGUAGUAUCAGAGCUUCUUAGUGUGUAGUAUUUGUUUUUUUUAUGCUAGGUGAAUCCAAUGCUGUUGUUGGGAUGGGGGUUUUCAUAUAUAUAUAUAUAUAUAUGACGGUUCUUUUGUUCUCUGUAUUGUAUUUAUAUAUUUCUAUGUUAAUGCUGUAGAUCUCUAACGCUGUUCUUGCUGCGCGGAUCAUGAAUGCUACACUAGUGCUGCCUGAAUUGGAUGCAAACCCCUACUGGCAGGAUAACAGGUAUAUCUCUAAUUGUCUUGAAAAUUUUUAUUCUUAACUUACUUCUGAUCCACAAAACUUGUUCAUCAAAUUCUCAAUUUUGAUUCAAAUGGUAGAAGAUAUGUGUGCUAUUUCUUUUUUCUUGAACAUAGGAGUAUUUGUUGAUUCCCAAUUUGAACGUGAUCACUACUUAACUAGUUAGUUUAUUAAUUAAUAAUAACUGUUAGUUUAUUAAUUAAUAAUUACUUUUGUUUAUGAAUAAUAAAUAAUUACUUGACAAAAGCUGUUGUUAUUAUUUUUUUAUUUUUUUGGUCAAGUAGCCAGUGGCUAGAAAUUCACCCUUUAAGGUGAAUUAGUGGGGAAUCUGGGGUUCAAACCCCAGCCCCUGUAUACCGUAAUAUCCCUUCCAAUUGAGCUAAGCUCACGGGGACAAAGCUGUUGUUAUUACCAUUAGGCGUCUACUAACGUAUUAGGAUAUGGCGAACUCAACAGUUUGUAGUGAAGGAUAAUGCUUGUUCUGGCAAAAUAAUAAAACAAGAAAGGCAAGAAUAGAUGUGCUCCGUUGAUUUUUAUUCACCCACCGCAUGAUUUCCAUGAAACAAGGUGAUAACUGUUUUAAACUCUUUACAAUGUUCCACGUGCAUAUUCUUGCAUUUCGUCUCCAACUUCCUCCUUAAAAUUUAGAAGCACUCCUGUAGUGAAUGCAUUAUAGUGUAUUAAUUUUAUUGUAAUUGAAAAACACUUCCACAUAUUUAAAUACAUGGGCUUAUUAUUGAAACAUGGAUUUUGCAUAAAUUUGUGUUUAGUUUGCCUAGAAAAUUGUGUUUAACUUAUAAUAAAAGGUAUUUAGUUCUUUUUAACAUGUCUCUGUAGACCCUCCCUUGAGAAAGACCUUAUGGUUAUAUUUGUUGUUACUUCAUAGGGAAUAUAUGAUAUUAUUUUUCCCACACAAAGUUAAAAGAUAGUUUCUGGUCAAGUUCUUGUACAUCUGAUAGCAAGUAAUUGCUGGAUUAACUGUGUCUAAACAAUAUACUAGGAUUAUUAUCAAUGGGGAAAUUUGCCAUUCGCUUGACCUUGGGUGCAUCUUGUAAUAAACAAAUUGGAAAUGUUUGCAUGUGUUCUUAUUCCAUUUGCAUGUUCUUAGCAAGGUAUCUCAAUUUAUACUUUUCUAUAAAACUAGCAUUAGAUUCUCGGUCAUUUAUCAGAUGGACUUAUUAUUGAAACAUGGAUUUUGCAUAAAUUUGUGUUUAGUUUGCCUAGAAAAAUGUGUGUUACUUAUAAUAAAAGGUAUUUAGUUCUUUUUAACAUGCCUCCUUAGACCAUCCAUUGAGAAGACCUUAUGGUCAUUUGCUGUUACUUCAUAGGGAAUAGAUGAUAUAUUAUUUUCCCCACACAUAGUUAAAGGAUAGUUUCUGGUUAAGUUCUUGUACAUCUGAUAGCAUGUAAUUGCUGGAUUAGCUUUGUAUGGAAACAAUAUGCUAGGAUUACUAUCAAUGGGGAAAUUACCAUUCGCUUGAUCUUGGGUGCAUCUUUUAAUAAACAAAUUUGAAAUGUUUGCAUUUUUUCUUAUAGCCUUUGCAUGUUCUUAGCAAGGUAUCUCAAUUUAUACUUUUCUAUAAAACUAGCAUCAGAUGCUUGGUCAUUCAUCAGAUGGAUUUAUUAGUUGGGUGCUUGUUAAUUUUAUUUAAGCUUUUCUUAUAGUAAUACAGAAAUGUGUUUAAUCUAGCACAAAAAUAUGUUCUACUUUUGGCAAUUGACAUCCAAAAUUCACUUGAAUAUCCAGACGAAGUUUCUUUAAUUUAAUUGUUUUUGUUUUGGACCUCUUGUUGGUUAGAAUCUUAUUCUGAUUUAGGAGAAGAGGCACCUUUUCUACGGUUGUAAAGAUUCUGGUCUCAUUGAUUGUUAAAUUUGUGAUGAAUUGGUGUCGCGUUAUAUGCAAUAGGUCAUAUAUCUAUUUAUUUGUUUGUUUGUUUUACAUGCAGUGAUUUCCAUGGUAUCUAUGAUGUUGAGCACUUCAUCAGAACACUGAGGUUUGACGUAAAAAUUGUAGAAAGCAUUCCAGAAAAUGAGAAAAACGUCAAAAAGAACAAAUUAAAGGCAUUUAAGGUAGAUUAUAAUAUUUGGCAAUUGAUUAGUUUGAAACUAUUUUAAUUUCCUGGAUAUCAUGUUCAAAACUUCAAAUGUUAUUUGAAACAGAUCCGGCCCCCUAGAGAUGCUCCUAUAAGUUGGUAUACUACUGAUGCUCUCAAGGAAAUGAAGGAACAUGGUGCCAUUUAUCUUACUCCCUUUUCACACCGGUUAGCUGAAGAAAUUGACAAUCCUGAGUACCAAAGGUUGAGGUGUAGAGUUAACUAUUAUGCAUUAAGAUUCAAGCCACAUAUCAUGAAGCUAAGUCAAUCAAUAGUUGAUAAGCUACGUGGACAAGGACCCUUCAUGUCCAUUCUUCGGUUUGAGCUGGAUAUGUUGGCAUUUGCCUGGUAAGUUAUCUACUUAUCUUGAAUGCAUGUGCGUUCACAUCAAUUGAGAUAUAGGCAUUUUGUCAUUUUUUUUUUUUUUCGUUGUUGAAGAAAAUGCCAAUUUUUGUCAGAAAACAUGGAUCAAAGGCGUGAAAUUUCAAUCCAUCAGUGGACCUGUUGUAGUUCUUUUUUAUUGUUUCUAAACAUCUCUAAUGGCCAUUCCAAAGUCCUUUUACUGUGUCUAUUUCUCUUGUAGUGCUUUUAUAUUUCUAAACAUCUCUCUAGGAAAAUGACAUUUUUAUUUGACAAAUUGUAAUUUGUAACUCUUUCGUGGAUACACCCAGACGCUUAAUAAUAGUAUAAUAAUAAUAGUAUAUAGAAUUUCAGAAACUUGUUCACACGCUUACUCCCUUAAACUGCUUUGAAUGUUUUGGUUAACUUUGGCUGCGAGCUUUCAUGUCUGUCCCAGUUGAUGUGCAGCACAUUUAUUUGUGCAAAACACAGAAUGCUCUUCUAUUUAAGAACAUAACGUAUAUUUAUUUUUUUAAAUAUGCAUUUGGGAUAUCUUCCUGCUAUGUCCCGAGUGUUUGGCCGUAUCUGUAUUUGCAUGUUCUAUAAGUGCUGAUCAAAGAGUAGAAAUUAUAGAAUCUGUUUUAUUGACGGAUACAUAAACUAAUUUUUCUUCCAUUGAAAAUAUAAUUUAAUGUUUCUUUCUCUAAAUUACUCAUGUUAAAUGUGAAUGUAGAUGCUUUGAUAUAUUUACACCUGAGAAGCAAAAGCUUCUGAAGGAGCAUCGGAAAAAAAAAUUUGCACCUAAAAAACUAGUCUAUAAAGAAAGAAGAGCCAUUGGAAAAUGCCCAUUGACUCCCGAGGAGGUAAGAAUUAGUUUUAUACCGAUUAUCUUCUAACUAUUUCUGUCUGCCUUUGCAAAAAAAAAAAAUGUUCGUUGUCUGGCAAAUGGUAUGCGUGUUGAUGAUUAUACAGAUUACAAAUUUGUUGAAAGUUAUGAUGCCAACAAUUUAAUUGGAUAUAGAUUGAUCUGUUCUAACUGCAGGUUGGUCUUAUUUUGCGUGCAUUGGGUUUUGACAAUUCUACCAGGAUAUAUCUUGCAGCUGGUGAAUUGUUUGGUGGGGAUCGAUUUAUGAAUCCAUUUCGCAGUUUGUUCCCCAGACUUGAGAAUCACAGUUCUGUAGAUCACUCUGAAGAGCUUGCUGAGAACACUAGGGGAUUGGCAGGUUCUGCUGUGGAUUACAUGUUCUGCUUUCUUUCUGACAUUUUCUUGCCAACCUAUAAUGGCCCAAGCAACUUUGCAAACAACCUCCUUGGUCAUCGCCUUUAUUAUGGCUUUCGGACUACAAUCAGACCUGAUAGAAAAGCUCUUGCCCCCAUUUUCAUUGAUAGGGAGAAUGGACGAAUGACCGUUUUUGAUGAGGCCGUUAGGAAAGUAAUGCUUAAAACAAACUUUGGUGAAGCUCAUAAGCGGGUUUCUCCUGAGUCUUUCUAUUCAAAUUCUUGGCCUGAAUGCUUCUGUCAAACAUCAGCAAAGAACCCAGAAGACAACUGUCCACCUAAUGAUGUUUUAAAUGUUCUGCAUGAUGAAUUGGCAAAAGCAUCUAUAGACACAAACUCUACAAAAGCUUGAGCAGAUAUAGGCACUGAUUUAAAUUACCUUGCAAAUUGGAUUCAGGUUUGUAGGAUUCUGUGCAAUGUAUGAUUACGCGGUUUAAUGUGUUUUGCUUUGUAAGUGAAUUAAACUUAUGUGAAUUUAUAGGCACUGUUUAAUUCAUUGCCGCCGGAGGAUUACAAUAAUGGAGUGUUGGUGUUGGGAGGUGAUGGUCGAUACUUUAAUAGAGAAGCUGCACAGGUUAACCUUUUUGAAUGUGUCCAAUUACUAGUUUUGUUAGGGGUGGGGUUCAAAUGUCUAUUAUUUUUUGUAUCUCACUCGAACAACCUUGUAAAGGAAGAUGAGGUGGCCAAAAUACAUGUCAUAUUUUUAUUGAGAUACAGUGCCGCAAGCAUUUAUCAAACAUUAUCGAAGUUUUGUCAACUUUUUUACAUUUUAACUGUCUUAUGUAAGUUGUUUAUUUCCAAUUACUAGGGCUGUAUUAGCUUGGAUUUCUAUUAUUGCUCACCACAACAAAGAUACAAAACCAGGGGAGAAAUUGAUCUCUGUAUUUGAUGUUGUAAAGGAACAUUGGGCAACCUAUGGUAGAAAUUUCUUUUCUAGAUAUGACUACGAGGUUGGUAUCAUUGUUGCAAUUGAUGAUUUACAUGUAUCAUACUUUUUCGCACUUCAUUAUUUAGUUCAGUUUUGCUUUGAAAUUUCUUAAGGCUAAUUUGUAGGUACUUUGGAGUUUGAUUGGGGUACUGGGUACCCUCUAGGCAAAAUUUGUAACAUUUUUAUUUAUUUUAAAAUAAAUUAAUAUGAAAAUAGGAUAUGGCAUUGAUUGAUUGGAUGAG